rnacentral:rRNA from 1 species
CUACGGGAGGCAGCAGUAAGGAAUAUUGGACAAUGGGCGCAAGCCUGAUCCAGCCAUGCCGCGUGCAGGAUGAAGGACCUAUGGUUCGUAAACUGCUUUUAUACGGGACAAAACCCCCGGUCGUGCAUCGGGGUUGAUGGUACUGUAAGAAUAAGGGUCGGCUAACUUCGUGCCAGCAGCCGCGGUAAUACGAAGGACCCAAGCGUUAUCCGGAUUUAUUGGGUUUAAAGGGUGCGUAGGCGGACUAGUAAGUCAGUGGUGAAAGCCUGCAGCUUAACUGCAGAACUGCCAUUGAAACUGCUUUUCUUGAGUGCAUUUGAAGUGAGCGGAAUGUGUCAUGUAGCGGUGAAAUGCUUAGAUAUGACACAGAACACCGAUUGCGAAGGCAGCUAGCUGGGCCUUUAUUGACGCUGAGGCACGAAAGCGUGGGUAGCGAACAGGAUUAGAAACCCCAGUAGUCC